rfam:Streptomyces hygroscopicus subsp. jinggangensis 5008, complete genome.
GGACAGUCAUCGCCGAGUCCCCGUACGGCGCGAGCCAGGGGAGCCGGGGACCCAUCGUCCCUGGGGUGAAUCGGGCGCCCGCGCUGCUGCGAGGGGGCCCGUAGGAGACCUUCCUGCUCCGAACCCGUCAGCUAACCCGGUAGGCGAGAGGGAAGGAAAGG